GAGCUCUGCUAUCCAGAAAGUUCUGGAAGCUCUCCAGACCCUGAAGCGUUCCACAACAUUGGAAACGGAAAAUGCCGAAAAUGCCGAGAGAGGUCCACAGUUAGUGAGAAGCCGCAAUGAGGCCUUCCAGUCGCACUGCCUGGGGGCCACAGGGGUGUCCUGACCCGGCGCCCCCGCCCCGGCGUGUCCGUGUCAAAGGCCUUCCCAGGCCAGUCCAGGUGACUCCACCCUUGGUCUCUGAAGCCCACGUCCGCAUCAUCGAAGGUCACGGCCCCUGCAACAGGUUUUUGUAUAUGCCUGAAUGCCCCAUUAUUUUACUGGGAUGUGACCUGUUAACUAAAUUUAAUGCUGAAGCUACUUCUUCUGUACCUGGUCACCUGGACAAAAAAGUACCCCCAGAGCAAGCUUGUGCCUUUCAAGCAAUGUUACUACAUGAAGGUGGAUAAGUCCUAUCAAAGCUUCCUGAAGAAGUUAUCCAAAAGGAUCCUGACAUGGAAAUGUUUACUGAUGGAAACAGCUUCAUGGGCCAAGGACAACAGAAAACUGGAUAUGCAGAGAUUACCAGCUAAGGAACUUUGGAGGUGGAAACUCCUCCACCAGAUACCUCUGUUCAAAAGGCAGAACCCAUUGCCGUAACAAGGGCCCUUUAUUUGAAAUAUUUCUUAUUGCCUCUUAAUAUAGGCCUGAGAACCCACCUGCAGGAACCACCUCCUGAGAUGACCCAGCUGUUUAACUGAACUGACCUAUUCUCAAGACUGAGACUGGUUCAUGAUGUAUGGAGCAGACUUUGUACCUACAGUCCAGAAUGAAUAUGAGGGAACAGUGUUGAUUUGUGAUGUUUUUGUAAGAAAAAAAUCUUGGUCAAAAGAGGGAUCUUCUCAUUACUCCUAACCAAUCCUGGGCUUAUCUAGCUAGGUACUGACAUUUGGAGAAUUGGAGGGGUCUACACACUAGGGAAAUUUGGUUACUCCUUUCUCUGUUCACUAUUCCAGUGAACUUUUAGACCUUUUAUUGAGCGAAAAGGGAAUCGACACCAGAUAGGGAUUACUUGCCUGUUAUCAAGAGGCUAGAUCUUGGUAUUCUUUUGGGAGAACAUUUUUAGUUGGCCAACAAAGCUGCUCUUACCAUUGUUGCCCAACUUAAAAAGAAAGUAAAUUUGUUAGCUAAGGUAGCACUUGAUAAUCACAUUGCUUUGCACUAUAUUCUUGCAGAACAGGAUAGAAUGCCAUUGCUAGCACAACUCGCUGUGUUUAUAUUAACGCUUCUGCUGCAGUAAAAACUAAAAUCUCCUUUAGAUAAAAUCAGAGAGCAAGCCACUUGGCCAUAGCAAAUUUCGCCAGAGGUGCCUGGAAAAAGUGACUGGAUUACUGGACUCUUUUUCUGGAUUCCCCAAGGGAUUAGCAAUGUUACAAGGACUACUCAGAUUUGGGUUAUCUAUACUUUUCAUUUCAUUAAUUGUAUCUGUACUAAUAAGAUGUGCUUUCCAAUGUUGCUCUAAAAUGGCCAAAGAAGAAACUAAUGUUUUGGUCAUGCAGAAUGUACAUGUUAAGCCGAAUACUAGGGAAUACUUCCAACAAAGUGCAAAAUUGUUUCAUUCCUCAAACCCUAAAACUGCAGGAAGUAGCCAGAGCAGUCAUUGUCCCAAUUCCUUCAAGACUGAGGAAUGAUCAUAAUUCUGGAGGGACUGAAAAUGUGCCCCAUAGGAUUAAUGAGGUUAAGACUAAUAGGAAAUUUAAAGCUUGUUUUUCAGAGGCCUGUCUCUCCCUAAUCAGCUAUUGUUUCGUUUCAGACCCCACAACAAAUCCAGUAACUGUUUCCAUUGAGGCUUGGACUGAUAUAAAUGAGGCUCACUGACACCAAUGCCCUGCAUUCCUUCCCUGUGAUAAUGAGCCCAAGAACUUAUGCAGUAUAUACUUCCUUUCAGAGAUGGGCAUAGCCCCUCUUGUCCUACAGUUGACUUCCUGACAUCAGGCACCCAAUUGUGCCUCGUUUUAAUUUUGUAUCUCCACCCUAAAGUGAACAUGGGAUGCGCAUGCUCCAUCUUUCCUCAUGAAUAGUCAUAAAUCUCCCUGUCUUUUGCAUCAAUGUGUAUGUAAUCCCACCCCUAAGAUUAUAAACAUUUGUUCUAAUUUCACUCAGGGGAGACAGAUUUGAACCAACCUCUGUUUCCUCUUUUUGCUGCCUUUCGAAUAAAUCUUUUCCCUGCUGCGUACUUGAUGUUUCAGUGAUUGGUUUUGCCAUGCAUUGGGCAGACAAACUUGGGUUCAUUUACAGCAUUGGCAAUUGGUUGUGUUUAAAUCAAUUUUCAAUUAAUUAAAGUUGUAAAUUUACAAACAGAUUUUCUUAAGUUUUUAAGUUGAACUUGCAUAACUUUGAUGUUCUAUUUAGAAAUCUUGUAAUUUUCAUAUAAAAAUAAAAGCAAUAACUUGUUCCUUGA